rnacentral:rRNA from 1 species
GAGUAACACGUGGGUAACCUGCCCAUCAGAAGGGGAUAACACUUGGAAACAGGUGCUAAUACCGUAUAACAAUCGAAACCGCAUGGUUUUGAUUUGAAAGGCGCUUUCGGGUGUCGCUGAUGGAUGGACCCGCGGUGCAUUAGCUAGUUGGUGAGGUAACGGCUCACCAAGGCCACGAUGCAUAGCCGACCUGAGAGGGUGAUCGGCCACAUUGGGACUGAGACACGGCCCAAACUCCUACGGGAGGCAGCAGUAGGGAAUCUUCGGCAAUGGACGAAAGUCUGACCGAGCAACGCCGCGUGAGUGAAGAAGGUUUUCGGAUCGUAAAACUCUGUUGUUAGAGAAGAACAAGGAUGAGAGUAACUGUUCAUCCCUUGACGGUAUCUAACCAGAAAGCCACGGCUAACUACGUGCCAGCAGCCGCGGUAAUACGUAGGUGGCAAGCGUUGUCCGGAUUUAUUGGGCGUAAAGCGAGCGCAGGCGGUUUCUUAAGUCUGAUGUGAAAGCCCCCGGCUCAACCGGGGAGGGUCAUUGGAAACUGGGAGACUUGAGUGCAGAAGAGGAGAGUGGAAUUCCAUGUGUAGCGGUGAAAUGCGUAGAUAUAUGGAGGAACACCAGUGGCGAAGGCGGCUCUCUGGUCUGUAACUGACGCUGAGGCUCGAAAGCGUGGGGAGCAAACAGGAUUAGAUACCCUGGUAGUCCACGCCGUAAACGAUGAGUGCUAAGUGUUGGAGGGUUUCCGCCCUUCAGUGCUGCAGCUAACGCAUUAAGCACUCCGCCUGGGGAGUACGACCGCAAGGUUGAAACUCAAAGGAAUUGACGGGGGCCCGCACAAGCGGUGGAGCAUGUGGUUUAAUUCGAAGCAACGCGAAGAACCUUACCAGGUCUUGACAUCCUUUGACCACUCUAGAGAUAGAGCUUCCCCUUCGGGGGCAAAGUGACAGGUGGUGCAUGGUUGUCGUCAGCUCGUGUCGUGAGAUGUUGGGUUAAGUCCCGCAACGAGCGCAACCCUUAUUGUUAGUUGCCAUCAUUCAGUUGGGCACUCUAGCAAGACUGCCGGUGACAAACCGGAGGAAGGUGGGGAUGACGUCAAAUCAUCAUGCCCCUUAUGACCUGGGCUACACACGUGCUACAAUGGGAAGUACAACGAGUUGCGAAGUCGCGAGGCUAAGCUAAUCUCUUAAAGCUUCUCUCAGUUCGGA